UUAACUUAAAAUUUGUAUGGAGUCGGAACGUUUGCCUACGUUUGCCACUAGAGGCGCUGUUCCAAGUCCAUACAAAAUUGAGUUA
rnacentral:pre_miRNA from 1 species